GGGUGUGACUAGUGACAGAGAGAGGGAGUGGGUGACUAGUGACAGAGUGAGGGAGGUGGUGAUUAGUGACAGAGGGAGGGAUGGGGUGACUAGUGACAGUCACCACCUCCUUCACUCUGUCACUAGUCACCCCCUCCCUCACUCUGUCAUUGUGUCACCCCCUCCCUCACUCUGUCAUUGUGUCACCCACUCCCUCCCUCACUCUGUCACUAGUCACCCCCUCUCUCACUCUGUCACUAGUCAUCACCUUCC